GAUGAACGCUGGCGGCGUGCCUAAUACAUGCAAGUCGAGCGAACGGACGAGAAGCUUUCUUCUCUGAUGUUAGCGGCGGACGGGUGAGUAACACGUGGAUAACCUACCUAUAAUACUUGGAUAACUUCGGGAAACCGUAGCUAAUACCGGAUAAUAUUUUUAACCGCAUUGUUCAAAAGUGAAAGACGGUCUUGCUGUCACUUAUAGAUGUAUCCGCGCUGCAUUAGCUAGUUGGUAAGGUAACGGCUUACCAAGGCAACGAUGCAUAGCCGACCUGAGAGGGGGAGCGGGCAAAAUGGAAGUGAGACACGGUACAGAAUACUAAGGGAGGCAGCAGGAGGGAAAAAUCGGCAAAGGGGGAAAGGCUGAAGGAGCAAAGCCGCGUGAGUGAAGAAGGUCUUCGGAUCGGAAAACUCUGUUAGUAGGGAAGAAAAUAUGUGUAAGUAACAGUGCACAGAUUGACGGUACCUAAACAGAAAGCAACGGCUAACUACGUG
rnacentral:rRNA from 1 species